rnacentral:lncRNA from 1 species
CAUCCGAGGCCUGCAGCCGGGCGGUAGGGGGAGAAAACGGUGCUUGAUUUCCGGCUUGGAGGACAGGUGACCUGGGACAGGUGGCGAGAAAGGCAGGCCAGGUGUGGGGACGUCGGCCGGGGCAAGUGAGCGUGGGGCUGCUGCUGGGACCCAGCUCUGGUGCCACCGCGGAGCUGACCCAGGCCUCAGGGGAGGAAGGGAGCUGUCCAAGGCCACUGCGGCGGAGGUCACCCGGUCAAAAGCGCUCCGCCUACCACCGAGGACAGCUUUGCCCCCCACCCUUCCCUGUGCUUCACCCCAGUCCUUCCCGCUGUGGGCAGGGCCAAACCGGGCUGGGCUGGGUUCGCUGUCCUGGGCUUUAAGCUCUAGAGCCUUCUGAGGGCCCGCCACUUCCAGGAACACAGGCAGAACCCGGUUGGCUACUUUGCAGGUUUUUUGUUUUUUGGUUUUUGUUUUGCAUAUGGAGGCUCCCAGGCUAGGGGUCCAAUCAGAGCUGUAGCUGCCAGCCUACACCACAGCCACAGCAACGCCAGAUCCAAGCCACAUCUGCGACCAACACCACAGCUCAUGGCAACACCGGAUCCUUAAGCCACUGAGCGAGGCCAGGGAUCAAACCCGCAUGUUCCUAGUCAGAUUCGUUUCUGCUGAGCCACGUUGGAAACUCCAGUGAAGCUAUCCUUUCUUCCCGGGAGGAAGAUGCCAGCCCUUGCUACUUCCAUGAAGAAGCAGCACAGCAGGGGGCCAGGCACCCAGGCUCAGAAGCUGGUCCUGCCAUUUACCAGCCGUUGCCUCACUUCUCGGAGCCUCAGUUUGCUCUUCUGAAAGAGGGGCCAUUCCUGUCCCUGUCUCUUUGGAUUCUCAGCAGGUUGGUCUGUAAAGAGCCGAGAGCAGGUACUUAUGGUGUUUGCAGUCUUUGCUGUGAAGCCUGGGCGUCCUCCUUGGAGCCCCUCCCAUGCCUCCUCCCUGACUUCCUGGUCCAGCCUCCACCCCAGGCAGCGAGCAAUUCCCUCCAGUAGUGCUGUAGGCUCUGGGAGAGGAAAUCAGGAAAUCCUAGCUCAAAGGCUCCAAAGGGCCCUUUAUCCCCAAGGCACUGGGGAGCCAUGGAAGGCUUCUGAGCAAGAGAGAGCUGUGGUCAGAGCCAGCCUUUGUGAAGACGCUUCUGGAAGCCAGUGGAGGAGGGGCCGCCAGCAGGUUCAGUGGCUGAUGGUUUGAAUCCCCACCGUCACAGCAUGUGCUACAAAGCAACGAUCAGCAAACCACAGCCUGUGGGCCAAGUCCAGCCUGUCACUUGUUUUUAUAAAUAAUGCUUUUCUGGGAGUUCCCAUUGUGGCUCAGUGGUUAAGGAACCUGACUGGUAUCCAUGAGGACUCGGGUUGGAUCCCUGGCCUCGCUUAGCGGAUUAAGG